UACGAAGGGUGCAAGCGUUACUCGGAAUUACUGGGCGUAAAGCGUGCGUAGGUGGUUUGUUAAGUCUGAUGUGAAAUCCCCGGGCUCAACCUGGGAAUGGCGAUGGAAACUGGGCAGCUAGAGUGUGUCAGAGGAUGGUGGAAUUCCCGGUGUAGCGGUGAAAUGCGUAGAGAUCGGGAGGAACAUCAGUGGCGAAGGCGGCCAUCUGGGACAACACUGACGCUGAAGCACGAAAGCGUGGGGAGCAAACAGG
rnacentral:rRNA from 1 species